rnacentral:rRNA from 1 species
GAGGAAUGUAUAGCAAUAGCUACUUGCAUCAUCAUUUUCUUCUUCUCAUUUUCUUCUUAAGAAGAAAAUGAGAAGAAGAAAAGUAAAGAUGAUGCAAGAUCGACUAUGUCGAAUAAAAUUCUAGGUAGAAUUAUGAUAAUGACAUUGUCUGCCUAUGUGUCUUGACCAAAUUACGUGCCAGCAGUCGCGGUAAUACGUAGAAGACUAGUGUUAUUCAUGUUUAAUCGGUUUAAAGGGUACCUAGACGGUAAAUCAAGCUUUCAAAGAAAAAAUAAAGAGAAUUAAAGGACUAAUUUACUAGAGUUACUUAUGAGGGGGUAUUAAAGUACUGCUGGUGUAGAGAUGAAAUUCUGUCAUACCUCUUUUCAAAAAAAAAACGAUGGCACAGGUAUAGGCGAAGGCAUCCCCUUAUGUGAUAACUGACGUUGAGGGACGAAGGCUUUGUGUAGCGAACAGGAUUAGAUACCCCAGUAGUCGAAGCAGAAAAUGAUGAAUGUCAUAGAUUAGAUAUAUAAGUUUAUUCUAUAAAUGAAAGUGUAAGCAUUCCACCUCAUGAGUAAUUUGGCAACAUUGGAACUGAAAUCAUUAGACCGUUUCUGAAACCAG